rnacentral:misc_RNA from 1 species
UCUCCGUUGGUGAACCAGCGGAGGGAUCAUUACAGAGUUCUAAAAGACUCCCAAAACCAUUGUGAACGUACCCGUCAGCGUUGCCUCGGCGGGCGGCCCCUCCCUGGGGCCGCUGCCUCCCUCACGGGGGGUGCCCGCCGGCGUACGAAAACUCUUUCGUAUUUUAGUGGCCUCUCUGAGAAAACAAGCAAAUAAGUUAAAACUUUCAACAACGGAUCUCUUGGUUCUG